rnacentral:rRNA from 1 species
AUUGAACGCUAGCGGGAUGCUUUACCCAUGCCAGUCGACCGGAGUGGCGGACGGGUGAGUAAUAUAUCGGACCGUGCCCAGUAGCGGGGGAUAACUACUCGAAAGAUUGGAUAAUACCGUAUACUCUUUGAGGGGCCGAUAUCGGAUUAGCGAGUUGGUGGGGUAAAGGCUCACCAAGGCAACGAUCCGUAGCUGGGUUGAGAGGACGACCAGCCACACUGGGACUGAGACACGGCCCAGACUCCUACGGGAGGCAGCAGUGGGGAAUUUUGGACAAUGGGGGAAAGCCUGAUCCAGCCAUCCCGCGUGUAUGAUGAAGGCCUUCGGGUUGUAAAGUACUUUUGGCAGAGAAGCGGUAUCUGCAGAAUAAGCACCGGCUAACUACGUGCCAGCAGCCGCGGUAAUAC